GUGCUCCCUUUGGCAACACAUAUACUAAAAGUGGAAUGAUGCAGAAAUUAGCAUGGCCUCUGCACAAGGAUGACAGGCAAAGUCAUGAAGUGUUCCAUAUUUAA
ensembl:snRNA U6 U6 spliceosomal RNA